AGAAAAGGCAUAGUUAAAAAAUGACCUGCUUAGGUUGCGACAGAGGCCGAGUGGCGAGGCCCAGCUCCCUGAAAGAACAGAACCUACCCCUGUGGGUCAUCAUCGUGCCCUCCGACCUGGCCAGGAAGAAGGCAGCCAAAAAGAAGGAGGCUGCCAAAGCUCGACAGAGGCCCAGAAAAGGACAUGAAGAAAAUGGACAUGCUGUCACAGAUCCACAGGUGGCAGAGGAAAAUGAGGCCAGUGGCAGAGAGACCACAGAAGUGGAUUUGCUGACCAAGGAGCUCGAGGACUUUGAGAUGAAGCUGCUGCUCGAGCUGCCACUGGCAUCCUGGCCUCUCACCCCAACAGUACUGAUGUUCACAUUAUCAACCUGUCACUCACCUUUCACUGUCAAGAGCUGCUCAGUGACACCAAACGGGAAUUAAACUCAGGCCAUCCUUAUGGUCUCAUUGGCUUAAAUGGAAUUAGAAAGUCCAUGUUGCUUUCUGCUAUUGGGAAACGUGAAGUGCCCAUCCUUGAGCAUAUCGACAUCUACCACCUGACUCGAGAGAUGCCCCCUGGUGACAAGACGCCCUUGCUGUGUGAUGGAAGUCAAUAGAGAGUGGGCCAUGCUGGAGAGGGAGGCAGAGUGGCUGGCUCACGAGGAUGCGAAGUAUGAGAAGCUCACGGAGCUCUAUGAAUGCCUGGAGGAGCUGGAUGCCGACAAGGCAGAGAUGAGGGCCUCGCGGAUCUUAUAUGGACUGGGUUUCACAUCUGCCAUGCAGCGCAAGAAGCUGAAAGACUUCAGUGGGGGCUGGAGGAUGAGGGUUGCCUUGCCAGAGCCCUCUUUAUUUGGCCCUUCAUGCCGCUUCUGGAUGAGCCCACCAACCACCUGGACCUAGAUGCUUGCUUGUGGCUGGAAGAACUAAAAACUUUAAAGUGCAUCUUUUAAGCGCAAUGGUCCUUGUCUCCCAUUCCUAGGAUUUUCUGAAUGGUGUCUGUACCAACAUCAUUCACAUGCAUAACAAGAGACUGAAGCAUUAUACGGGUAACUAUGAUCAGUAUGUGAAGACAUGGCUAGAGCUGGAGGAGAACCAGAUGAAGAGGUUUCACUGGGAGCAAGAUCAGAUUGCACACAUGAAGAAUUACAUUGUGAGGUUUGGCCACGGCAGUGCCAAGUUGGCCCAGCAGGACCAGAGCAAGGAAAAGACGCUACAGAAAAUGAUGGCAUCAGGACUGACAGAGAGGGUCAUGAGCAACAAGACACUAUCAUUUUACUUCCCACCAUGUGGCAAGAUCCCGCCACCCGUAAUUAUGGUGCAAAAUGUGAGCUUCAGGUAUACAAAAGAUGGGCCUUGCAUCUACAAUAAUCUAGAAUUUGGAAUUGACCUUGACACACGAGUGGCUCUGUUAGGGCCCAACGGAGCAGGAAAGUCAACUCUUCUGAAGCUGCUGCCUGGAGAGCUACUACCCACAGAUGGCAUGAUCCGAAAACACUCGCAUGUCAAGAUAGGGCGUUACCAUCAGCACUUACAAGAGCAGCUGGACUUAGAUCUCUCGCCUUUGGAGUACACGAUGAAGUGCUACCCAGAGAUCAAGGAGAAGGAAAAAAUGAGGAAGAUCAUAUGGUCUCACUGGGAAACAACAGGUGAGCUCAAUCAGGAACUUGUCAGACAGGCAGAAAUGCUGAGUGUGUCUGGCCUGGCUGGCCUGGCAGAACCCCCACAUGCUCUUUCUGGACGAGCCCACUAAUCACCAGGAUAUUGAGACCAUCGACGCCCUGGCAGAUGCCAUCAAUGAGUUUGAGGGUGGUAUGAUGCUGGUCAGGCUCAUUCAGCAGGUCGCACAGGAAAUUUGGGUCUGUGAGAAGCAGACAAUCACCAAGUGGCCUGGAGACAUCCUAGCUUACAAGGAGCACCUCAAGUCCAAGCUGGUGGAUGAGGAGCCCCAGCUCACCAAGAGGACCCACAGUGUGUGAGUCCUCUACCUGGGUUCAGGUCAGGAGCUCCAUCUGGUAACUAACAGUUGCUACCCUGACCAGCCUCUCAGGACAGGACCCUGGGGCUACACACUCCUGCAUUGCAGCAAUACCGCUCCCCCAGCCUCUCCUCUGCCCCUCGACCUGCCUUAGCUGCACUUUUAUCUACAGCUAGACAGUACCUGUCUGUUUCCCAUCCUCCUUCCAGUUACUUCUGUCCAUGUCUGGACUUGGCUGGCCGUUCCCUCCAGCCCCUUGCUGGUUACCUUAUUCUGAGUGUGAUGCAGUCAGAGGCACCUGAGGGUUAGCCCAAGGGCCCAAGCCUGGAUUUGGCCCUCAAAGGAGCUUAAGAUCCUUUAUUUCUGGGUUUUGGUGAUGUUGGAGGAAUGCCCACUGCCCCCAUUCCUUUUUGCUUCUUGUUUGGAGCUCUGGAUCAGGACCUUCGUCCUGGUCAGUUUUUAAAUAAUUAUUUAACAGUGUAACUUUUAGACCUGCAUGGCAUCUGCAAAGCGCCCAAUAAAGAAAGAGGAAGCCAAAAAAAAAAAAAAAAAAAAAA